AAAAACACAGAGAAGAAAGCAAAAAGUGAAGAACAAGUUAAUAGACAUGCUGUUGCUCCUGCUUCUUCCUCUCAUUCUUCUUCUACUUCUUCUGUAUCCUCUUCUUCUUCUUCCUCUUUUUCUUCUUCUUUCUCUC
rnacentral:ribozyme from 13 species